CAGCAGCCGCGGUAAUACAGAGGGUGCAAGCGUUAAUCGGAAUUACUGGGCGUAAAGCGCGCGUAGGUGGUUUGUUAAGUUGGAUGUGAAAUCCCCGGGCUCAACCUGGGAACUGCAUUCAAAACUGACUGACUAGAGUAUGGUAGAGGGUGGUGGAAUUUCCUGUGUAGCGGUGAAAUGCGUAGAUAUAGGAAGGAACACCAGUGGCGAAGGCGACCACCUGGACUAAUACUGACACUGAGGUGCGAAAGCGUGGGGAGCAAACAGGAUUAGAUACCCCAGUAGUCCCUGUCUCUUAUAA
rnacentral:rRNA from 1 species